rnacentral:rRNA from 1 species
AGCACUGUAGGUGUCAGCAGCCGCGGUAAUACGUAGGGGGCAAGCGUUGUCCGGAAUUAUUGGGCGUAAAGCGCGCGCAGGCGGUUUCUUAAGUCUGGUGUGAAAGCCCGCAGCUCAACUGCGGAGGGCCACUGGAAACUGGGAAGCUUGAGUGUAGGAGAGGAGAGCGGAAUUCCACGUGUAGCGGUGAAAUGCGUAGAUAUGUGGAGGAACACCCGUGGCGAAAGCGGUUCUCUGGCCUAUAACUGACGCUGAGGCGCGAAAGCGUGGGGAGCAAACAGGAUUAGAUACCCUGGUAGUCCACGCCGUAAACGAUGAGUGUUCGCCCUUGGUCUAUUCUGAUCUGGGGCUCAGCUAACGCGUUAAACACUCCGCCUGGGGAGUACGGUCGCAAGACCGAAACUCAAAUGAAUUGACGGG